rnacentral:rRNA from 1 species
UACGUAGGGAGCAAGCGUUGUCCGGAAUUACUGGGCGUAAAGGGCGCGCAGGCGGCUCAGACAGUCAGAUGUGAAAGCCCCGGGCUUAACCUGGGAACUGCAUUUGAUACUACUGAGCUUGAGUACGGGAGAGGAUAGUGGAAUUCCCAGUGUAGAGGUGAAAUUCGUAGAUAUUGGGAAGAACACCGGUGGCGAAGGCGGCUAUCUGGGACCGUAACUGGACGCUGAGGCGCGAAAGCGUGGGGAGCAAACAGG